UGCCGACUGGUAGAAAUGGGAGGAAUAGUCAAAGAAUUAGCCAGUCAAAUUCAUUUUUUUCGCACUGGGCCUGAGGCAGAGCCCUAUACAAAAUACUGAUGAGGGCCAGAAGAGGGACCACUCAUAUCCUUGCCGCCCAGUCCCCAACUGAGGGAAACGUGGAUCCCCAUUGCUCCAGCAGAAGGUAGGCUCUGCACGCACUCACUCUGGGUACCAGCCCCGCCUCCUGCUUCAGCAGCUGGCUCAGUCUGGUGGUCUUCUUGGAAAGAGUAUGUGUGUUGAUGCGGGCCAGCCGCUCCCGAAGGCUCAGUUGCUCCACCUUGGUAUACUUUAAAGCUGUGGUGAGACCAAAGAAAAGGGCAUUGCAGGUGACUGAGGCUGACCCAGGAAGCGAACAUCACCACAUCCUCCCGACUUGGAACUCUGCUCCACCUAGUUACAUCCAGCAGAACGGGCCCGAUCAAGUGAACAACACAGCUGCAAGAAGCACACGUGACCAGACCUGAGCUCGCUCUUUGUCUCCGGUACUUGAAGGAGUCCAGCCAGAUCAGCGAAGCUGACCUGCAGUUGACAGGGUGGACACAGGAAAAUGCUCAGCCGGGAGCAGAAGGCUCAUUUGCUGAGCCCAUCUCAACUGAUAAUAUG